rnacentral:rRNA from 1 species
GAUGAACGCUGGCGGCGUGCCUAAUACAUGCAAGUCGAGCGAACGGGCGAGAAGUUUGCUUCUCGGAUGUUUUCGGCGGGCGUGUGAAUAACACGUGGAUAAUCUACCUAUAAGACUGGUAUAACUUCGGGAGGCCGGAGCUAAUACCGGAUAAUAUUUUGAUCCGUGUCGUUCAAAAGUGAAAUACGGUCUUGCUGUCACUUAUAGAUGGAGCCUCGCUGCAUUAGCUAGUUGGUAAGGUAACGGCCUACCAAGGCAACGAUGCAUAGCCGACCUGAGAGGGUGAUGGCCCACCCUGGACCUGAGACACGGUCCAGACUCCUAGGGGAGGAAGCAGUAGGGAAUCUUCGGCAAUGGGCGAAAGCCUGACGGAGAAACGCCGCGUGAGUGAUGAAGGUCUCGGGAUCGUAAAACUCUGUUAUUAGGGAAGAACAUAUGUGUAAGUAAAUGUGCACACCUUGACGGUACCUAAUCAGAAAGCGACGGCUAACUACGUG